rnacentral:rRNA from 1 species
UAGGGAAUCUUCGGCAAUGGACGAAAGUCUGACCGAGCAACGCCGCGUGAGUGAAGAAGGUUUUCGGAUCGUAAAACUCUUUUGUUAGAGAAGAACAAGGACGUUAGUAACUGAACGUCCCCUGACGGUAUCUAACCAGAAAGCCACGGCUAACUACGUGCCAGCAGCCGCGGUAAUACGUAGGUGGCAAGCGUUGUCCGGACUUAUUGGGCGUAAAGCGAGCGCAGGCGGUUUCUUAAGUCUGAUGUGAAAUCCCCCGGCUCAACCGGGGAGGGUCAUUGGAAACUGGGAGACUUGAGUGCAGAAGAGGAGAGUGGAAUUCCAUGUGUAGUGGUGAAAUGCGUAGAUAUAUGGAGGAACACCAGUGGCGAAGGCGGCUCUCUGGUCUGUAACUAACGCUGAGGCUCGAAAGCGUGGGGAGCAAACAGG